rnacentral:rRNA from 1 species
UUGCACAGUGCUGGCGAGUGGCGGACGGGUGAGUAAUACGUAGGGAUCUACCUUUUAGCGGGGGACAACUCGGGGAAACUCGAGCUAAUACCGCAUACGGCCUAAGGGUGAAAGCGUGGGACUGGGAGACUGGCCACGCACUAUAAGAUGAGCCUGCGUCGGAUUAGCUAGUUGGUAGGGUAAAGGCCUACCAAGGCGAAGAUCCGUAGCUGGUCUGAGAGGAUGACCAGCCACACUGGGACUGAGACACGGCCCAGACUCCUACGGGAGGCAGCAGUGGGGAAUAUUGGACAAUGGGGGCAACCCUGAUCCAGCAAUGCCGCGUGUGUGAAGAAGGCCUGCGGGUUGCAAAGCACUUUCGUUGGGGAAGAAGUAGUGUGUUUUAAUAGAGCACAUUGUUGACAUUACCCAAAGAAUAAGCACCGGCUAACUCUGUGCCAGCAGCCGCGGUAAUACAGAGGGUGCGAGCGUUAAUCGGAAUUACUGGGCGUAAAGGGUGCGUAGGUAGUUGAGUAAGUCGUAUGUGAAAUCCCCGGGCUUAACCUGGGAACUGCAUAUGAAACUGCUGGACUAGAGUCAAGUAGAGGGAAGUGGAAUUUCCGGUGUAGCGGUGAAAUGCGUAGAUAUCGGAAGGAACACCAGUGGCGAAGGCGGCUUCCUGGACUUAGACUGACACUGAAGCACGAAAGCGUGGGGAUCAAACAGGAUUAGAUACCCUGGUAGUCCACGCUGUAAACGAUGAGAACU